GAUGAACGCUGACAGAAUGCUUAACACAUGCAAGUCUACUUGAAUUUGGGUUUUUUAACUUAGAUUUGGGUGGCGGACGGGUGAGUAACGCGUAAAGAACUUGCCUCACAGCUAGGGACAACAUUUGGAAACGAAUGCUAAUACCUGAUAUUAUGAUUAUAAGGCAUCUUAGAAUUAUGAAAGCUAUAUGCGCUGUGAGAGAGCUUUGCGUCCCAUUAGCUAGUUGGAGAGGUAACGGCUCACCAAGGCGAUGAUGGGUAGCCGGCCUGAGAGGGUGAACGGCCACAAGGGGACUGAGACACGGCCCUUACUCCUACGGGAGGCAACAGUGGGGAAUAUUGGACAAUGGACCAAGAGUCUGAUCCAGCAAUUCUGCGUGCACGAUGACGUUUUUCGGAAUGUAAAGUGCUUUCAGUUGGGAAGAAAAAAAUGACGGUACCAACAGAAGAAGUGACGGCUAAAUACGUG
rnacentral:rRNA from 1 species